GGGGACGGAGAAGGUUAGGUCAGCCAACUGUUGGAAUAGUUGGUUUAAGCGUGUAGGCGUGCCCCUUAGGCAAAUCCGGGGGGCUUAGCUGAGGCGUGAUGACGAGGCACUACGGUGCUGAAGUGAUUGAUACCAAGCUUCCAGGAAAAGCCACUAAGCUUCAGUCUAGAAUUGACCGUACCGCAAACCGACACAGGUGGGCAGGAUGAAAAUUCUAAGGCGCUUGAGAGAACUCAGGAGAAGGAACUCGGCAAAUUAACACCGUAACUUCGGGAGAAGGUGUGCCCCGGUAGGUUGUAGAACCUUGCGCUCGAAGGCCGAUGGGGUUGCAGUGAAAUGGUGGCUGUGACUGUUUAAUAAAAACACAGCACUCUGCAAACACGAAAGUGGACGUAUAGGGUGUGACGCCUGCCCGGUGCCGGAAGGUUAAUUGAUGGGGUGCAAGCUCUUGAUCGAAGCCCCGGUAAACGGCGGCCGUAACAAUAACGGUCCUAAGGUAGCGAAAUUCCUUGUCGGGUAAGUUCCGACCUGCACGAAUGGCGUAACGAUGGCCACACUGUCUCCUCCUGAGACUCAGCGAAGUUGAAAUGUUUGUGAAGAUGCAAUCUCCCCGCGGCAAGACGGAAAGACCCCAUGAACCUUUACUGUAGCUUUGCAUUGGACUUUGAAUCGGUCUGUGUAGGAUAGGUGGGAGGCUGUGAAACCGGGACGCUAGUUUCGGUGGAGCCAACCUUGAAAUACCACCCUGAUUUAUUUGAGGUUCUAACCUUGAUCCGUGAAUCCGGAUCGGGGACCGUGCAUGGUGGGCAGUUUGACUGGGGCGGUCUCCUCCCAAAAGGUAACGGAGGAGUACGAAGGUACGCUUAGGGCGGUCGGACAUCGCCCAUAAAGUGCAAUGGCAAAAGCGUGCUUGACUGCGAGACCCACAAGUCGAGCAGGUGCGAAAGCAGGUCAUAGUGAUCCGGUGGUUCUGUAUGGGAGGGCCAUCGCUCAACGGAUAAAAGGUACUCUGGGGAUAACAGGCUGAUACCGCCCAAGAGUUCAUAUCGACGGCGGUGUUUGGCACCUCGAUGUCGGCUCAUCUCAUCCUGGGGCUGUAGCCGGUCCCAAGGGUAUGGCUGUUCGCCAUUUAAAGAGGUACGUGAGCUGGGUUUAAAACGUCGUGAGACAGUUUGGUCCCUAUCUGCCGUGGGCGCUGGAAAUUUGAAGGGGGCUGCUCCUAGUACGAGAGGACCGGAGUGGACGAACCUCUGGUGUACCGGUUAUGACGCCAGUCGUAUCGCCGGGUAGCUAUGUUCGGAAGAGAUAAACGCUGAAAGCAUCUAAGCGUGAAACUCGCCUUAAGAUAAGAUUUCCCGGAGUCUUGAACUCCCUAAAGGGUCGUCGAAGACCACGACGUUGAUAGGUCAGGUGUGGAAGC
rnacentral:rRNA from 1 species